GAUCUGUGCACGGGUCCGCUCUCCCUCACAUUCUGCCUGGAAACAAAACAGCUGAGAGGAGACUCGAUCAGCACCAGCUGUGACUUCCUGUGAUGGGCGGAGAGCAGAGCGGCGAGGAGGAGACCGAGGAGAGAGAAGACGAGGAUGAAAAACAUCACGAGUCCGUCAACACCUCUGAAGGAGAGCUGCCCCAGUGCAUGAUGGGAAACAGGAAGGUGGACGACAUGUGUUUCAUGAUCUCCUGCACUAACUGGUACUGACCUGGUUCUGGUGCAGCAGCUCCACCUCUGAAGAACAAGGCCCUUACACAAGCUGUGUUAUGUUAUUCUUUAAAUAAAGUCCUGCAGCGUUAAUAAUGAGUUAACGGCUCCAGGUCCGAACACCUGAUGAAACAGAUGAAUCCACUUUUCUAUUGUUUCUUUAUCUAGAACAAAGGUGUAACAGAUGUGAGCUCUGCCUCAUGAACGAGUGAUGCUUCAGUAAAACUACUGGGACCAAAGAAGAGAGUAUUAAAUCACAUAUUCUAUAAACAGCUCUGAACAGAUAAAA